rnacentral:rRNA from 1 species
ACUUCCUACGGGACGCAGCAGUGGGGGAUAUUGCACAAUGGGGGGAACCCUGAUGCAGCGACGCCGCGUGAAGGAAGAAGUAUCUCGGUAUGUAAACUUCUAUCAGCAGGGAAGAAAAUGACGGUACCUGACUAAGAAGCCCCGGCUAACUACGUGCCAGCAGCCGCGGUAAUACGUAGGGGGCAAGCGUUAUCCGGAUUUACUGGGUGUAAAGGGAGCGUAGACGGCGAUGCAAGCCAGAUGUGAAAGCCCGGGGCUCAACCCCGGGACUGCAUUUGGAACUGUAUAGCUAGAGUGUCGGAGAG